GGUGCUAUCGUCUAGUGGUUAGGACAUCACGUUGUGGUUGUACACACGUACCGCUAACAUUCACUAUCACGCAUUUCAUUGCCGUGAAAACGCCGGUUCGAUUCCGGCUAGCGCCA
rnacentral:tRNA from 1 species